AUCCCCUCGCAUUUAUCGGACUUAUCGAGCCACCCUUGCUUCUCAAAGAAUGCACUUUGCAAGGAGCAAUUGCAGGCUGUGUCAAAGACAUUGAAAGAAGCAAUUGAAUUGUCAGAUUUAUGUAACAGUGAGCGAGGGUAAACUUAGGAUGCAGAGCGAUCUUGAUUCUUUAUCCGGGAGAUUGGAUUUGAAUUUGCGAGAUUGUGGGCUUCUGAUUAAGACUGGGGUGCUUGGUGAAGUUACUUUGCCUUCUGCUGUGGCCGGUUCAUCAACAGAACCUGAGGCUGCCGUUCAUAGCAAUAUAAGGGAAUUGCUUGCUCGGCUUCAGAUCGGGCACUUGGAAGCAAAGCACAAAGCUCUUG
rnacentral:misc_RNA from 1 species